UCAUACCAAGUUUUAUUAAGAUUGGUCAACUUUUUCUAUCCUAUUAGGUCCGAGUACACAGUUAUCGUCCCUUGAUUUUCGUUGUCCACAAAUAUAGUCCCUAGUGUGGACAGUGUGUUACUUGCCAAUUUUUUUUAUACCCCUUUCAAAUUUAUUUCUUCAUGUUUUAUGCCUCAAAUAGCAAGUAGGGGGAUAAAAUUACACUGUGAAAAAGUUUUGAUUCAUGAAUUUUAAAGUAAAGUAGUGAUUUGGUCCAGCUGAAAAAGGUUAAGAAUUAGCAUUUCGGAAGCUGUCAAAAGAUUUCAAGACCCCCUUAACAUAAAAUUGUCCAUAUUUGGAGUUAGAGCCGAUGAAGUUUUCUAUAAUUUUGGUAUAAUUUGUCCCAAAAGUAGAACAACACACUGUAAAAAUAUUAUUGAGAAAGGGCAGGUGGGAUUUUUUUUAUUUCCAUUUAUUGUCUAAAAGAAAUGCACUACGAAAUAACUGUGUACUCAGACCAUAAUAAUAAAACCCAAUUUUAAAUUUUUCAGUUUUUUUACCACAUUCAUUCUGUAACAGAAACCUAUGCUGUGUCAAAUAUUUAAUCACAAUCCAAAUUCAAAGCUGUAUCAAGCUUGAAUGUAGUGUCCAUACUUACCCCAACUGUUAUGGGGUAGUAUCUAGCUGCGCACUGCGGAGCAUUUAAUCAAAUGUAUUAGCGGCUAAAGGACUGAAUACUGCGCAAGUAUUUAUGGAUUCAUAGCUAUAAGGAACCAAAGAGUCCAUAAGUUAUAUUUUGUCUCACCUGGGAGGAAAAGUUGCAGAAUGCAAAAGAUAGGUAUACAAAUCAGUGUGUUACCUAUUUAUAUAAACCUGUUUAUUUCAGAAGUUAGAUGAACUUCAUUCUUCAUAUCUAUUAUACAAAAGAAAAAAGUUCCCUCGAAGAGAAACAAAUCUACAAAAGUUUUUUUGUCACAUGAAUUUCUCACUUUUUAUGAGUAAUAGGAUAACUAUUAUACUGUGGAUUCAUUAUUAUUCGUUAGAUACCGGUACCUAUUUUCGUGAAUUUCAUGGUUACCCGGGAACCACGAAUUCUAAUGUACAAUGAAUUACAAAUUGUCAAUAAGAAUGUAUGCAGACUUUGGCAAAACCAUGAAAUCAAAUAUUCACGAAAAUGCAAGUUUUCCUCAAUCCACGAAAAUUGCUACGCACGAAAAUAAAUUAAUCCACAGUAUAUAGUCUAUAAUUGGUACAUGGGAUCCUUGCAAGGUCUACAUGUCAGUCAGAUGUUUUAGGUUUUUAUCCAUUUUGAAUAGUAUUUUUGUUUUGUUUCCAGCUUUAAAUCAAACUGGGAGUGUGUGCCUUGUUUAAUACUGUACUCACUCUCCAUACUAGAGAUACACUUGUUUAACUUUCCCUUGUUGGCAUCCUGCAGUUCUUGACAUAGGUUUUAUAGAAUAAUUGACCAUGACCAACACCAAUUGAGACAAUAGCUUACAUCUACCUAUAAUCUAGCCUUAAAAACUGAACUAUAAAAUGAAGUUCAAGGACAUUAUUGUCAAUCCAUGCAAUUGAUUGUGUAAUUAUGUCUAUAUUUGAAAUAAUCUGAAAAUCUUUCCAGUAAUGUCUUCAAUGAUUAGACACAAGUUUUAUGUAUAAAUGAAUGAAAUAUAUAUAGAAAUAGGUUUCUUUCAUCUUUAUUGAUCUGUGCAACAAAAGUGAAUGAAAUCAAGGUAAUUAUUAUCCAAUGUUAAAGUGUUAAGAAUCAUAAGGAUGUUGUCUUCUUGUUAACAUCACUUGUUCUUUGUGUGAUGAUAAUGGACGGAUGCAUCAGAUUGAUUAUCACACAAUCAGUAUCAAUGGGAUGUUAUCAAUCAACCAUACUUUAAAAGGUAUUUGAUUUUUUUUUCAGAUAAAAAUAACUUUUAAGUAGAAUUGAUUUAGAUGAGUGUGUGUGUAUAUAUAUAGAUAUAUAUGUAUAUAAAGAGGACUAUAUAGGGAUGAAUUACAUAAUGUACACACUGGUAACAUGAUCAUAAAUAGGGAAAACCCAGGCAAUAAAACAUUAUUUUUCAGGCAUGCUUGAUCAUGAUAUUUAUGGUCCUUCAGUCAUUUGUACAGUUUAAAAGCAUUUUACUAUCAUUUGACAGAAAUAUAUAAUGGAAGAUGGAAUUAAUGGUUUGUAACGAGGGCUAAUGAAGGGGGAGGUAAUGAGGGCUAAUGAAGGGGGUGUGGGGUUUGAAUUGAUUCAGUAUGUUAUGGUUGGUAAUGAGGUCUAGUGAAGGAGGAGUGUGGGGUUUGAUUUGAUUCAGUAUGUUGUGGUUUGUAAUGAGGUCUAGUGAAGGGGAAGAGAGGGGUUUGAUUUGAUUCAGUAUGUUAUGGUUUGUAAUGAGGGCUCAUAAAGGGGGGUUUGUGGUUUGAUUUGAUUCAGUAUGUUGUGGUUUGUAAUGAGGUCUAGUAAAGGGGGAGUGUGAGGUUUGAUUUGAUUCAGUAUGUUAUGGUUUGUAAUGAGGUCUAGUGAAGGAGGAGUGUGGGGUUUGAUUUGAUUCAGUAUGUUAUGGUUUGUAAUGAGGUCUAGUGAAGGGAGAGGUAAUGAGGUCUAGUGAAGGGGUUAGGGUUUGAUUUGAUUCAGUAUGUUAUGGUUUGUAAUGAGGUCUAGUGAAGGAGGAGUGUGGGGUUUGAUUUGAUUCAGUAUGUUAUGGUUUGUAAUGAGGUCUAGUGAAGGAGGAGUGUGGGGUUUGAUUUGAUUCAGUAUGUUAUGGUUUGUAAUGAGGUCUAGUGAAGGAGGAGUGUGGGGUUUGAUUUGAUUCAGUAUGUUAUGGAUUGUAAUGAGGUCUAGUGAAGGGGGAGUGUGGGGUUUGAUUUGAUUCAGUAUGUUAUGGAUUGUAAUGAGGUCUAGUGAAGGAGGAGUGUGGGGUUUGAUUUGAUUCAGUAUGUUAUGGAUUGUAAUGAGGUCUAGUGAAGGGGGAGGUAAUGAGGUCUAGUGAAGGGGUUAGUGGUUUGAUUUGAUUCAGUAUGUUAUGGUUUGUAAUGAGGUCUAGUGAAGGAGGAGUGUGGGGUUUGAUUUGAUUCAGUAUGUUAUGGUUUGUAAUGAGGUCUAGUGAAGGAGGAGUGUGGGGUUUGAUUUGAUUCAGUAUGUUAUGGAUUGUAAUGAGGUUGAGUGAAGGAGGAGUGUGGGGUUUGAUUUGAUUCAGUAUGUUAUGGAUUGUAAUGAGGUCUAGUGAAGGAGGAGUGUGGGGUUUGAUUUGAUUCAGUAUGUUAUGGUUUGUAAUGAGGUCUAGUGAAGGAGGAGUGUGGGGUUUGAUUUGAUUCAGUAUGUUAUGGCUUGUAAUGAGGUCUAGUGAAGGAGAAGUUCAGGGUUUGAUUUGAUUCAGUAUGUUAUGGUUUAUAAUGAGGGCUAAUGAAGGGGUGUGUGGUUUGAUUUGAUUCAGUAUGUUUGAGAAUUAUGUUGUAAUGGUUGAUAAUGGAGAGCUGAUCAUUUGUAGAUAAUUGACUAAGGGUGUCAAUGUUUCAAUGGUAUUACAGAGCAGUUUAUGAUAUUAGUGAUGUUUAAGACAUAUUUUACAUGAAAGCAGGAUUUGUUUCAGGGAGGAUUGACUUUAUGAUUUGAGACAGGUUUGUUUUGGAUACCUGACUUUGAAAAAGUAUGAAAUAAUUAAAAAUGGUUUGUUUAUUGUUACAAUUUUAGUGAUCCGUUCAGCUCUUGUUUCCCCAUCCAUAACGACUUUAUGGUAAUGGUGUGAUGGUUAAUGACUUUAUAUGAAAUCUAUCAGGAAGACAUCUUCUGUUUUACAAGACAGAAAUAAACAGACUUUACAUGUGUCUGAAUUGAUAAAUGUCUUGCAUUCUAUAAUAAUAAAAAAAAAAUCAUUUAAAUCAAGGAUUUUUGAUAUGAAAAAUUAAUCAACAGUUAUACUUAUUAUUGAAUCAGGAUUCCUACACCUUUGUAGCAUUAUGCACAUUCACACACCAUAUUUUCUGUUAGUGUCUUUAACAAAUCAAACAAUUCUAAUGAUUGUCCUUUGACUUAAUAAACUUGUUGACAAAUAUUAAAGUUAUUGGAAGGAUAUGCUUACAUUACUUGUUUUUUGGUUGAUAGUUGUGUCAUUGGUAAUCAUACCAUAUCUUCUGGUUUUUGUCGAGCCUGCGACUUUUGUCGCAGAAAGCUCGACAUAGGGAUAGUGAUCCGGCGGCAGCGGCGUUAGCUAACUUCUUAAAAGCUUUAUAUUUUAGAAGCUAGAAGACCUGGAUGCUUCAUACUUUGUAUAUAGAUGCCUUAUGUUACGAGUUUCAGUCUGUCGUAUGUCCAUUUGUCCUUGACCUCAUUUUCAUGGUUCAGUGACUACUUGAAAAAAAAGUCAACAUUUUUUUUGUAAUGCUAAUUUCUUUCUUAUUAUGAGUAAUAGGAUAACUAUAUUUAGUAUGCGCGUACCUUGCAAGGUCCUCAUGCCCGUCAGACAAUUUUCAUUUGACCUCGACCUCAUUUCAUGGAUCAGUGAACAAGGUUAAGUUUUCGUGGUCAAGUCCAUAUAUCAGAUACUAUAAGCAGUAGGUCUACUAUAUUUGGUAUAUGGAAUGAUUGUAAGGUGUACAUGCCCAACUGGUAGGUGUCAUCUGGCCUUGACCUCAUUUUCAUGGUUCAGUGGUCAAAGUUAAGUUUUUGAGUUUUGGUCUUUUUUUCUAAUACUAUAUGCAAUAGGUCAACUAUAAAUGGUGUAUGGAAAUAUUUUAUGAUGUACAUGUCAGUCUCACAGGUUUUAUUUGACCUUGACCUCAUUUUCACGGUUCAUUUCUCAAUGUUAAGUUUUUGUGUUUUGGUCUGUUUUUCUUCAACUAUAAGCAAUAGAUCAUCUAUAUUUGAUGUAUGGAAGGAUUGUAAGGUGUAUAUGUCUGUCUGGCAGGUAUCAUCUGACCUUGACCUCAUUUUCAUGGUUCAUUGGUCAAUAUUAAGUUUUCUUGUUUAAGACUGUUUCUUAGAAACAAUAAGCAAUAGGUCAACUAUGUUUGGUUUAUUGAAUGAUUGUAAGGUGUACAUGUAUUUCUCGUUUGGUUUAUCUGACCUUGACCUCAUUUUCUUGGAUCAUGUUAAGUUUAUGUGUUAUGUGUAGUAAAACUUUGUAUUUAGGACUAUCAACAUAAAAUCAAUAGUUAGUAAAGAAGGCGAGACAUUUCAGCGUGUGCACUCUUGUAUAUAUAAAAGUAUUUUUGAUACCUAUAAUGAUAUUUUAGGAAAGAUUCCAUGUGUAUUGCUGGAAGUAUUGUAAAGAUAUAUUUUCUCAAUAUCUGCCAUUUACAUCAGGGCCGUACUCUUUUAAAAUCGCUCGACAGAGAAUGCACGACAUGGCAGAUGAUAAAUUGGCAGUGUAAUGGCUAUAUAGAAUGAUUGAAGGAGUACAUUUCCAUUUGACAGUUUUUAUCCGACCAUGACCUCUUUUCAUGAAUCGUUGAUCAUUUUAAGUUUAUGUUAUACCUAGGGAAGACAUUUCUGUGUUUGCACUCUUUGUUUCUUUUAAAAGUUUAAAUGAUUCUUUUGAAAUUAACUUGUAGUUUUACAAAACACCAAUAUUUAUUUUUUUUAAAUUCUCCUAAAUCAGAUAAUUUCAAAACACCAAUAUUUUUUUUGGAAGAUUCCUCUUAAACAAGAUAAAUGAUAAAUUGGCUUUAUUUGGACAGGUUGGUAUAUUUGCCUCAAUGGCAACUAUAUCACAUCUCCUUAUUUGUCAGAAAUAACUAUACUCGUUGGUUGAGGUUGUCAAUAUUACUGAAAGGGAAUGACCACCUCUAUAUGUUUAAGGACUACUUCUAUAGAAGGUUUUCUUGAAUACAUUGUAACAUGUUUCUUUCUAUAAAUCACUUUUGUAUCAAUAAUUGCUCGUUUAAUAUAAGCUGAGAAGUCAAGGAGAUUUUAUUUAUUACUUUUAAAAGACUUUCUCAAACCAUGCUAAAAAUCUUAAAUAUUUCAUACGUUUUAUUUCACUUUACACAUCCAGCAGAAACAAAAGACAUCUGCCAUUCUUACAUUUUAAUAUAACCAAUAAAAGUGUUUAUACAACAUAUUGGUAUGAUGAAUUUUCCACCCCUGUACACAUAUCAGUAUUGAUGGGAUUUCAGUUCUUUUUGGUCAUAUGAUUGGAGUUAAUUCAGGUGAAAACUUGUGCAACAGAACUUUGCUCAGUAUAAUGAGGAGGAAGAAUUAAGUUCUGGAAAUUUGUAAAAAAGAGACAAAAGAAGUUUGAGGAUGAGGUGAAAUGAACCCAAACAAUGAGAUAUAUAAUAGUAAAUUAUUGGAGGCUUCAUUAUAGUUUCAAUGACAAAUGAGGGCACGGGAGAAACUAAAAAAGAAAGAAUAGAUAAAGAAAAUGGCUUUUGAACAACCUUUGGCAGGUAAACUGGCAAUUUAGUCAAUUACAUUUGGGAGUCAAACACACCUUGUCAUGAGCAGGGUUUGAAUUCACAACCUCAUUGUUCAAAUAAUGUGCAGGAAUCAAACUUAUUAAAUUAAGUUUAAAAAGAUCUUGGCUUGCAGUAUCUUAGAAACAUUCAAUUGAAAAUUGACCAAUACAGAAAAUAAAUAUUGCCUCUGAAGUCUAUGUUUCUUAACCAAUUGAAAUACAGGGAGAAUUUUCAUACAGGACUUCCCAUGCAAUAUUCCUGGCAAUGUUAAUGUUGGCCUCUUAAUUCAUUCAUAGAAAAAUAAGGAAUUCCCAGUACAUAUGAUCCUGAUUUAUACAUUAUGGUUUAUUGGGAAAUACAAUCUUGAGGAGUGUUUGUAGUUCUUUAUGAAAGCCAUUGAAAUUUAACCAUAUCAUAUUUGAUUUAAGCCUUUUACUGCACGUGGGAUAAAAUCAAUUAAAUUUAAAU